AUUGAACGCUGGCGGCAGGCUUAACACAUGCAAGUCGAGCGAGCGGCGGACGGGUGAGUAAUGUCUGGGAAACUGCCUGAUGGAGGGGGAUAACUACUGGAAACGGUAGCUAAUAACGCAUACCAUCAGAUGUGCCCAGAUGGGAUUAGCUAGUAGGUGGGGUAAUGGCUCCCCUGGGCGCCGAUCCCUGGCUGGUCUGCGGGGAUGAACGGCCACACUGGAACUUGGACACGUUCCGGACCCCUAGGGGGGGUAGCAGGGGGGAAUUUUGCACAAUGGGCGCAAGCCUGAUGCGGCCAUGCCGGGUGUGUGAAGAGGGCCUUCGGGUUGUAAAGCACUUUCAGCGAGGAGGCGUUACUCGCAGAUGAAGCACCGGCUAACUCCGUGCCAGCAGCCGCGUAAUUC
rnacentral:rRNA from 1 species